AAUGCGAUUCAAGUGAAAGAAAAAAUUGUGAUGCGCACAUUGCAAUAUAUGUAUACCUACAUAUUCAUUUCUACUUUUUACAACUACAGCUUGCAACCGAAAAAUCUGAAAAAUUCUAUAAUACCUCACGGACAAGUGACAGGGUUGAAAUUUCGCACGGAUGAGUUUUUCUUGCACAGCUAUCGAACGAUAAGUCUGAAGGACCCCGCUUUAUUUCGAGGAGAAACGAAGAAGCGUCGUAUCUACGCAAUGUUUGCAUCAAUUGUAUCUCACAUAUCGGAUACGAAAAUUUUUGAGAGAUUUUUGAUGAAUUUCUUUCGAUGAGGAACGAAGAAGCGACAUCGACUUAUUCGCCGCUGGAAGUUCGCGAAAGAAGCACUCGGACCGGUAAACGGGGUAUAGCCGCGAGGAAACGGCGAAAACCCCUUUGUUCCAUGGACGAAGCAAAACUUAUUGAAUAAGAGUGAAGCGGUGGGAAGCGGGUCGUCGCGUGCCGAUCCAAUGUCAUCGCGCGCGCGUUGUCAGCCGCGAUAUUGGACCGGCAAGAACGUUUCUCGAGCGAUUCCCAUAAUCGUCGAUUUACGACGGCCACGCGUUCCCCCACGGGCCGAUAAACUUGCGAAGCCGAGGACCGAGAGUGUCCCAACCACACACGUCGCUUCUUCUUCUCCUCUGACGAUUCCGCUUGUUCCCCAAUUGCUGCGCGACACGUUGCCGCGCGAUCGAAGUGGAGCAUAAACGAAAUAAGCGCGGCAUGCAAUUGUACUCACCCUAUCACUACUAUCGAGAAAUCUAGAAUGUUCCAUCCGUUCCGGAGAUAAGCACCAGGAUGAGCCACGAAGCCGUAGGCGAUGAUCUUCAUUACGCAUUCGACCGUAAAAAUCACAAGAAAUAUAUACUCUAUUUUUUCCUGAAACACAGUAAUCAGAAAUACGGAGUUAGUCAGAUGUUAUCUAUAAAUUAAUUGCGAACAGAA